rnacentral:hammerhead_ribozyme from 1 species
AUUCUGAUGACGAGUCCCAAAUGAGAUGAAACGUGAGUCCUGGAU